rnacentral:rRNA from 1 species
AUGCAAUCAAGCCCUGACCUUGUGGAGGGGCGCAUUUAUUAGACCAAGACCAAUCGGGUUCGCCCGUAAUCUGGUGACUCUGAAUAACUUUGCUGAUCGCAUGGUCUUAGUACCGGCGACAUAUCUUUCAAGUGUCUGCCCUAUCAACUUUCGAUGGUAGUUUAUAUGCCUACCAUGGUUGUAACGGGUAACGGAGAAUAAGGGUUCGACUCCGGAGAGGGAGCCUGAGAAAUGGCUACCACAUCCAAGGAAGGCAGCAGGCGCGCAAAUUACCCACUCUCAGCUCGAGGAGGUAGUGACGAAAAAUAACGAGACGGUUCUCUAUGAGGCCCGUCAUCGGAAUGGGUACAAUUUAAACCCUUUAACGAGGAUCUAUUGGAGGGCAAGUCUGGUGCCAGCAGCCGCGGUAAUUCCAGCUCCAAUAGCAUAUACCAAUUCUGUUGCUGUUAAAAAGCUCGUAGUUGGAUCUUUUCCGAGGGGGGAGUCGGCCCGAUGGGCAUGUACUCUUUCCCGAGGAUACUUCUGCCGGUUUUCCCGCGGUGCUCUUCAGUGGGUGUCGCGGGUGGCUGGCGCGUUUACUUUGAAAAAAUUAGAGUGCUCAAAACAGGUUUGAGGCCUGGAUAGUGGUGCAUGGAAUAAUAGAAUAGGACCUUGGUUCUAUUUUGUUGGUUUUAGGAGCGCAAGGUAAUGAUUAAGAGG